rnacentral:rRNA from 1 species
UACGAAGGGUGCAAGCGUUACUCGGAAUUACUGGGCGUAAAGCGUGCGUAGGUGGUUCGUUAAGUCUGAUGUGAAAGCCCUGGGCUCAACCUGGGAAUGGCAUUGGAUACUGGCGAUCUAGAGUGCGGUAGAGGGCAGUGGAAUUCCCGGUGUAGCAGUGAAAUGCGUAGAUAUCAAGAGGAACACCAGUGGCGAAGGCGAGUCCCCUGGACAACACCUGACACUGAGGCACGAAAGCCCGGGGGGGAGCAAAACAGGAUUAGAAAA